rnacentral:rRNA from 1 species
GUGCCAGCAGCCGCGGUAAUACGGAGGGUCGCAAGCGUUAAUCGGAAUUACUGGGCGUAAAGCGCACGCAGGCGGUUUCUUAAGUCAGAUGUGAAAUCCCCGGGCUCAACCUGGGAACUGCAUCUGAUACUGCCAAGUCUUGAGUCUCGUAGAGGGGGGUAGAAUUCCAGGUGUAGCGGUGAAAUGCGUAGAGAUCUGGAGGACAUACCGGUGGCGAAGGCGGCCCCCUGGACGAAGACUGACGCUCAGGUGCGAAAGCUGUGGGGAGCAACCGAGGAUUAGAUCCCCUGGUAGUCC